rnacentral:rRNA from 1 species
ACGAAGUCUUCGGACUGAGUGGCGGACGGGUGAGUAACGCGUGAGAAUCUGCCUAGAGGUCGGGGACAACCAUUGGAAACGAUGGCUAAUACCGGAUAUGCCUUACGGGGUGAAAGAUUAAUUGCCUUUAGAAGAGCUCGCGUCUGAUUAGCUAGUUGGUGAGGUAAGAGCUCACCAAGGCAGCGAUCAGUAGCUGGUCUGAGAGGAUGACCAGCCACACUGGGACUGAGACACGGCCCAGACUCCUACGGGAGGCAGCAGUGGGGAAUUUUCCGCAAUGGGCGAAAGCCUGACGGAGCAAGACCGCGUGAGGGAGGAAGGCUCUUGGGUUGUAAACCUCUUUUGUCAGGGAAGAACAAAAUGACGGUACCUGACGAAUCAGCAUCGGCUAACUCCGUGCCAGCAGCCGCGGUAAUACGGAGGAUGCAAGCGUUAUCCGGAAUUAUUGGGCGUAAAGCGUCCGCAGGUGGCUGAUCAAGUCUGCGGUCAAAGACCGGGGCUUAACCCUGGAAAGGCCGUGGAAACUGAUAGAGCUAGAGUACCGUAGGGGUAGAGGGAAUUCCCGGUGUAGCGGUGAAAUGCGUAGAGAUCGGGAAGAACAUCGGUGGCGA